GCAGACGUAGCUCAGUCGGUAGAGCACCGCACCGGGAGGUAUGCGCAGGUUCAAAUCCUGCCGUCUGCACCA
rnacentral:tRNA from 1 species